AAAAACACCAGUUAUCGUUAAAGUUACGUUGAACGUUAGGUGGUGCAACUCAGACUAAGAAGGUCAGUUCAACGUUUACAAAGUAACGAGAAAAAGCAAUAAUAAAAUUAAUCUUUUUCUGUUAUAAAAAAAAACUGUUCAUAACUUCAUAGUCUUCUGACUGAUCGCAUGACGGAAUAAAGGAAAAAAAAAUAAAAAAAACCUUUUUCAACUUCAAAGUUGGCACGGAAUUCGGUUUCAAUUUCCUCUUGUCAUGUGAUUUAAAAAUGAAACAGGUAGUAUCAAAAUGCAUUGAGCAAACUGCGCUCCAACAAACGUUGUUGUAACAAUCAUGUAACUCCAGGAUACAUGAUUGUUACAAGCCUGGAUCCAGAUAUUGCGAGUAGUUGGAUCUUUUGGAAAUCUGUAAAAUAGCGGGAACUUACUUAACAAGUUUAUUAUGUCAGGGUA